rnacentral:rRNA from 1 species
UGGGGAAUAUUGCACAAUGGGCGAAAGCCUGANCGNAGCGACGCCGCGUGAGGGAUGAAGGCCUUCGGGUUGUAAACCUCUUUCGCUCAUGGUCAAGCCGCAACUUUGGGUUGUGGUGAGGGUAGUGGGUAAAGAAGCACCGGCUAACUACGUGCCAGCAGCCGCGGUAAUACGUAGGGUGCGAGCGUUGUCCGGAAUUAUUGGGCGUAAAGGGCUUGUAGGCGGUUUGUCGCGUCUGCCGUGAAAUCCUCUGGCUUAACUGGGGGCGUGCGGUGGGUACGGGCAGACUUGAGUGCGGUAGGGGAGACUGGAACUCCUGGUGUAGCGGUGGAAUGCGCAGAUAUCAGGAAGAACACCGGUGGCGAAGGCGGGUCUCUGGGCCGUUACUGACGCUGAGGAGCGAAAGCGUGGGGAGCGAACAGGAUUAGAUACCCUGGUAGUCCACGCUGUAAACGUUGGGCACUAGGUGUGGGGGCCACCCGUGGUUUCUGCGCCGUAGCUAACGCUUUAAGUGCCCCGCCUGGGGAGUACGGCCGCAAGGCUA